GCAAGCGUGAGCUCGUUCACUCUGGAACCUAAUGGCGGUUGGGGGUCCAGGGGACAGAGCUUGAGCACGUUCACCCUGGAACCAAAUGGUGAUGGGACUUGCGGAUGAGUGAGCGAGUCCGUUCACUCUGAAGCCUAAUGAUGGUGGCAUUUCCAGGAGAACGAGCAGGAACCUGUUAACUCUGAAGCCUAACGGCGGCAGCGUUGCCAGUGAGGACUGGAUCCCUGGAUGGAUGCCCGUCCGGAUGGAUCCCGAUCCCUACGGAUCCGGGCUUGACUUGUGCCUGCCUGGAAGCACCGUGGUCUGGAUGCAUCCCAAUCCGAUGGACACCGGCCUGGGCGGAUCCGGCUCCAGCUGGCUCCGGGUCU